UUCUAGAGGUGGGUGAAUCAGACGUGGAUAAUAAAAUAAAACCAAAGAUCUUUUAAAGUAAAUACAAUCUAAGACUCUAUCAUUUUUUUUCCAUAAUUUGACAUAUGAAUAUGAAAUUCAACGAGGAUCAUCCUUAUCAGACUGACAGUGGGUUGAUAAAAACAUGUAAAUCUAACAGAAAAUACUGAUUUCAUUAUAGGCCAAUAAUUUACUUACUUACAUAGAACAUCAAUUUUGUUUUUCAAAAAGAAUUUUAAUAUAAAAAGCAACAGCAACAAUAACUAUAGAAAGAUCAAGC
rnacentral:lncRNA from 1 species